rnacentral:rRNA from 1 species
AACGAACGCUGGCGGCAUGCCUAACACAUGCAAGUCGAACGAGACCUUCGGGUCUAGUGGCGCACGGGUGCGUAACGCGGGGAAACCUGCACUUAGGUUCGGAAUAACUCCCCGAAAGGGGUGCUAAUACCGGAUAAUGUCAUCGGACCAAAGAUUUAUCGCCUUUGGCUGGGGCCGCGUUGGAUUAGCUGGUUGGUAGGGUAAAAGCCUACCAAGGCGACGAUCCAUAGCUGGUCUGGGAGGAUGCUCAGCCACACUGGGACUGAGACACGGCCCAGACUCCUACGGGAGGCAGCAGUGGGGAAUAUUGGACACUGGGCGAAAACCUGAUCCAGCAGUGCCGCGUGAGUGAUGAAGGCCUUAGGGUUGUAAAGCUCUUUUACCCGGGAUGAUAAUGACAGUACCGGGAGAAUAAGCUCCGGCUAACUCCGUG